AUCUGAAUCAUCUGGGGAUUUUAUUAAAAUGAAGAUUCUGAUUCUAUAAGACUGGGAUGGGGCCUGAGGUUCUGCAUUUCUAACAAGCUCCCAAGGGAUGCUGAU
rnacentral:pre_miRNA from 1 species